AUUGAACGCUGGCGGCAUGCCUUACACAUGCAAGUCGAACGGCAGCAUGAUCUAGCUUGCUAGAUUGAUGGCGAGUGGCGAACGGGUGAGUAAUAUAUCGGAACGUACCUUAUUGUGGGGGGUAACGCAGCGAAAGCUGUGCUAAUACCGCAUAAUCCCUAAGGGGGAAAGCGGGGGACCGUAAGGCCUCGCGCAAUUAGAGCGGCCGAUACCUGAUUAGCUAGUUGGUGAGGUAAAGGCUCACCAAGGCAACGAUCAGUAGCUGGUCUGAGAGGACGAUCAGCCACACUGGGACUGAGACACGGCCCAGACUCCUACGGGAGGCAGCAGUGGGGAAUUUUGGACAAUGGGGGCAACCCUGAUCCAGCAAUGCCGCGUGAGUGAAGAAGGCCUUCGGGUUGUAAAGCUCUUUUGUCAGGGAAGAAACAGCAGCUCUAACACAGUUUGCGAAUGACGGUACCUGAAGAAUAAGCACCGGCUAACUACGUGCCAGCAGCCGCAGUAACAC
rnacentral:rRNA from 1 species